AUUGAACGCUGGCGGCAGGCCUAACACAUGCAAGUCGAACGAGUGGCGGACGGGUGAGUAAUGUCUGUGAAACUGCCUGAUGGAGGGGGAUAACUACUGGAAACGGUAGCUAAUACCGCAUACCAUCGGAUGUGCCCAGAUGGGAUUCGCUAGUAGGUGGGGUAAAGGCUCACCUAGGCGACGAUCCCUAGCGGGUUUGAGAGGAUGACAAGCCAAACGGGAACUGAGAAACGGUCCAGACUCCUACGGGAGGCAGCAGUGGGGAAUAGUGGAAAAUGGGCGAAAGCCUGAUGCAGCCAUGCGGGGUGUAUGAAGAAGGCCUGCGGGUUGUAAAGUACGUUCAGCGGGGAGGCGUUACCCGCAGAAGAAGCACCGGCUAACUACGUGCCAGCAGCCGCGGUAAUUC
rnacentral:rRNA from 1 species